GGUUAAGCGACUAAGCGUACACGGUGGAUGCCCUGGCAGUCAGAGGCGAUGAAGGACGUGCUAAUCUGCGAUAAGCGUCGGUAAGGUGAUAUGAACCGUUAUAACCGGCGAUUUCCGAAUGGGGAAACCCAGUGUGUUUCGACACACUAUCAUUAACUGAAUCCAUAGGUUAAUGAGGCGAACCGGGGGAACUGAAACAUCUAAGUACCCCGAGGAAAAGAAAUCAACCGAGAUUCCCCCAGUAGCGGCGAGCGAACGGGGAGGAGCCCAGAGCCUGAAUCAGUGUGUGUGUUAGUGGAAGCGUCUGGAAAGGCGCGCGAUACAGGGUGACAGCCCCGUACACAAAAAUGCACAUAUUGUGAGCUCGAUGAGUAGGGCGGGACACGUGGUAUCCUGUCUGAAUAUGGGGGGACCAUCCUCCAAGGCUAAAUACUCCUGACUGACCGAUAGUGAACCAGUACCGUGAGGGAAAGGCGAAAAGAACCCCGGCGAGGGGAGUGAAAAAGAACCUGAAACCGUGUACGUACAAGCAGUGGGAGCACAGAGCAAUCUGUGUGACUGCGUACCUUUUGUAUAAUGGGUCAGCGACUUAUAUUCUGUAGCAAGGUUAACCGAAUAGGGGAGCCGAAGGGAAACCGAGUCUUAACUGGGCGUUAAGUUGCAGGGUAUAGACCCGAAACCCGGUGAUCUAGCCAUGGGCAGGUUGAAGGUUGGGUAACACUAACUGGAGGACCGAACCGACUAAUGUUGAAAAAUUAGCGGAUGACUUGUGGCUGGGGGUGAAAGGCCAAUCAAACCGGGAGAUAGCUGGUUCUCCCCGAAAGCUAUUUAGGUAGCGCCUCGUGAAUUCAUCUCCGGGGGUAGAGCACUGUUUCGGCAAGGGGGUCAUCCCGACUUACCAACCCGAUGCAAACUGCGAAUACCGGAGAAUGUUAUCACGGGAGACACACGGCGGGUGCUAACGUCCGUCGUGAAGAGGGAAACAACCCAGACCGCCAGCUAAGGUCCCAAAGUCAUGGUUAAGUGGGAAACGAUGUGGGAAGGCCCAGACAGCCAGGAUGUUGGCUUAGAAGCAGCCAUCAUUUAAAGAAAGCGUAAUAGCUCACUGGUCGAGUCGGCCUGCGCGGAAGAUGUAACGGGGCUAAACCAUGCACCGAAGCUGCGGCAGCGACACUGUGUGUUGUUGGGUAGGGGAGCGUUCUGUAAGCCUGUGAAGGUGUACUGUGAGGUAUGCUGGAGGUAUCAGAAGUGCGAAUGCUGACAUAAGUAACGAUAAAGCGGGUGAAAAGCCCGCUCGCCGGAAGACCAAGGGUUCCUGUCCAACGUUAAUCGGGGCAGGGUGAGUCGACCCCUAAGGCGAGGCCGAAAGGCGUAGUCGAUGGGAAACAGGUUAAUAUUCCUGUACUUGGUGUUACUGCGAAGGGGGGACGGAGAAGGCUAUGUUGGCCGGGCGACGGUUGUCCCGGUUUAAGCGUGUAGGCUGGUUUUCCAGGCAAAUCCGGAAAAUCAAGGCUGAGGCGUGAUGACGAGGCACUACGGUGCUGAAGCAACAAAUGCCCUGCUUCCAGGAAAAGCCUCUAAGCAUCAGGUAACAUCAAAUCGUACCCCAAACCGACACAGGUGGUCAGGUAGAGAAUACCAAGGCGCUUGAGAGAACUCGGGUGAAGGAACUAGGCAAAAUGGUGCCGUAACUUCGGGAGAAGGCACGCUGAUAUGUAGGUGAAGUCCCUCGCGGAUGGAGCUGAAAUCAGUCGAAGAUACCAGCUGGCUGCAACUGUUUAUUAAAAACACAGCACUGUGCAAACACGAAAGUGGACGUAUACGGUGUGACGCCUGCCCGGUGCCGGAAGGUUAAUUGAUGGGGUCAGCGCAAGCGAAGCUCUUGAUCGAAGCCCCGGUAAACGGCGGCCGUAACUAUAACGGUCCUAAGGUAGCGAAAUUCCUUGUCGGGUAAGUUCCGACCUGCACGAAUGGCGUAAUGAUGGCCAGGCUGUCUCCACCCGAGACUCAGUGAAAUUGAACUCGCUGUGAAGAUGCAGUGUACCCGCGGCAAGACGGAAAGACCCCGUGAACCUUUACUAUAGCUUGACACUGAACAUUGAGCCUUGAUGUGUAGGAUAGGUGGGAGGCUUUGAAGUGUGGACGCCAGUCUGCAUGGAGCCGACCUUGAAAUACCACCCUUUAAUGUUUGAUGUUCUAACGUUGACCCGUAAUCCGGGUUGCGGACAGUGUCUGGUGGGUAGUUUGACUGGGGCGGUCUCCUCCUAAAGAGUAACGGAGGAGCACGAAGGUUGGCUAAUCCUGGUCGGACAUCAGGAGGUUAGUGCAAUGGCAUAAGCCAGCUUGACUGCGAGCGUGACGGCGCGAGCAGGUGCGAAAGCAGGUCAUAGUGAUCCGGUGGUUCUGAAUGGAAGGGCCAUCGCUCAACGGAUAAAAGGUACUCCGGGGAUAACAGGCUGAUACCGCCCAAGAGUUCAUAUCGACGGCGGUGUUUGGCACCUCGAUGUCGGCUCAUCACAUCCUGGGGCUGAAGUAGGUCCCAAGGGUAUGGCUGUUCGCCAUUUAAAGUGGUACGCGAGCUGGGUUUAGAACGUCGUGAGACAGUUCGGUCCCUAUCUGCCGUGGGCGCUGGAGAACUGAGGGGGGCUGCUCCUAGUACGAGAGGACCGGAGUGGACGCAUCACUGGUGUUCGGGUUGUCAUGCCAAUGGCACUGCCCGGUAGCUAAAUGCGGAAGAGAUAAGUGCUGAAAGCAUCUAAGCACGAAACUUGCCCCGAGAUGAGUUCUCCCUGACUCCUUGAGAGUCCUGAAGGAACGUUGAAGACGACGACGUUGAUAGGCCGGGUGUGUAAGCGCAGCGAUGCGUUGAGCUAACCGGUACUAAUGAACCGUGAGGCUUAACCUU
rnacentral:rRNA from 1 species